rnacentral:rRNA from 1 species
GUGGGGAAUAUUGGACAAUGGGGGCAACCCUGAUCCAGCAAUGCCGCGUGGGUGAUGAAGGCCUUCGGGUUGUAAAGCCCUUUUGGCAGGGACGAUGAUGACGGUACCUGCAGAAUAAGCCCCGGCUAACUUCGUGCCAGCAGCCGCGGUAAUACGAAGGGGGCUAGCGUUGUUCGGAAUUACUGGGCGUAAAGGGCGCGUAGGCGGCUUCGAUAGUCAGGCGUGAAAUCCCCAGGCUCAACUUGGGAAUUGCGCUUGAUACUGCGAGGCUUGAGUGAGGGAGAGGAUAGUGGAAUUCCCAGUGUAGAGGUGAAAUUCGUAGAUAUUGGGAAGAACACCAGUGGCGAAGGCGGCUAUCUGGACCUCAACUGACGCUGAGGCGCGAAAGCGUGGGGAGCAAACAGGAUUAGAAACCCUAGUAGUCC